ensembl:snoRNA
AAGCCAUCCAAUUAAUCUGCUUAUCUGAAUGUGUUUCUGAAGAAAUUUAGAAAAAGUUGGCAGUAGUGAUGGCAUCUUACGAGCCUUAAGAAUAACUGAGGUCUUUAAGGUCCCUGAAAAUGGCUACAAUA